GUGCUUGCUUCAGUAGCACAAAUACUAAAACUGGAGCAAUACGGACAAGAUUAGCAUGGCCCCUGCGCAAGGAGGACAUGCAAAUGCACGAAAUGUUCUGUAUUUUU
ensembl:snRNA U6 U6 spliceosomal RNA